AAAAAAUAUUUUAGGCAUCUCACAAUAUUUCACUUUUUUAAAUCAUAUAAAGAUUCUUCAACAUUUCAAAGAAACGUUAAAAAACAUUAUUUAUCCACAAGUGGUGAAACUGGAGCAGGAUCAUAUGACUCGGUUCUAAGUUUGUGGAGAUGAAAAAAUCAUUAAGCUGUUUUAUGGCCUCAAAAAAAACUUUUGGACAACAUUAGCAUUGAUGAUGCUAAAAGGAAUCCUGAGAUGUUUGCCCUAAAAGUAUUGUGCGUACUACAUUAUUGGCUCGUCCCAACUGGCAGAUACGAGCAAAAAUCUGUAUUCGCAAAAAAGAAUUGGUUCGUUUUUCCAGCAAAGACUCACAGGAAUCAUUUCUUUUUAUGGGAAAUACUAUACAGCAAUAGGUAGCUUUGAAAACAAAUGAAUUUUUUUUGUUAAUGCAGAUGGAAAUUUUUUUCCAAUUUUCUGAGAUCAUUAGAUCUUUGCUUCAAAAUGUUUCAUUAAUUUAAUUUACAGUAUCCUAAAGCUAGUGAGUCAAUUUCGUCAUUUAUUGAAAAUUAUGUUUAUACUCUAAAAACGAAAU